ACUGCUAAUACCGGAUGACGACGUAAGUCCAAAGAUUUAUCGCCGAGGGAUGAGCCCGCGUAGGAUUAGCUAGUUGGUGUGGUAAAGGCGCACCAAGGCGACGAUCCUUAGCUGGUCUGAGAGGAUGAUCAGCCACACUGGGACUGAGACACGGCCCAGACUCCUACGGGAGGCAGCAGUGGGGAAUAUUGGACAAUGGGCGAAAGCCUGAUCCAGCAAUGCCGCGUGAGUGAUGAAGGCCUUAGGGUUGUAAAGCUCUUUUACCCGGGAUGAUAAUGACAGUACCGGGAGAAUAAGCUCCGGCUAACUCCGUGCCAGCAGCCGCGGUAAUACGGAGGGAGCUAGCGUUGUUCGGAAUUACUGGGCGUAAAGCGCACGUAGGCGGCUUUGUAAGUUAGAGGUGAAAGCCUGGAGCUCAACUCCAGAAUUGCCUUUAAGACUGCAUCGCUCGAAUCCAGGAGAGGUGAGUGGAAUUCCGAGUGUAGAGGUGAAAUUCGUAGAUAUUCGGAAGAACACCAGUGGCGAAGGCGGCUCACUGGACUGGUAUUGACGCUGAGGU
rnacentral:rRNA from 1 species